rnacentral:rRNA from 1 species
GACGAACGCUGGCGGCGUGCCUAAUACAUGCAAGUAGAACGCACAGUUUAUACCGUAGCUUGCUACACCAUAGACUGUGAGUUGCGAACGGGUGAGUAACGCGUAGGUAACCUGCCUGGUAGCGGUGGAUAACUAUUGGCAACGAUAGCUAAUACCGCAUCAUAUUAAUUAUUGCAUGAUAAUUGAUUGACAGAUGCAACUGCAUCACUACCAGCUGGACCUGCGUUGUAUUAGCUAGUAGGUGAGGUAACGGCUCACCUAGGCGACGAUACAUAGCCGAACUGAGAGGGUGAUCGGACACACUGGGACUGAGACACGGCCCAGACUCCUACGGGAGGCAGCAGUAGGGAAUCUUCGGCAAUGGACGAAAGUCUGACCGAGCAAAGCCGCGUGAGUGAAGAAGGGUUUCGGAUCGUAAAGCUCUGUUGUAAGAGAAGAACGGGUGUGAGAGUGGAAAGUUCACACUGUGACGGUAUCUUACCAGAAAGGGACGGCUAACUACGUG